rnacentral:rRNA from 1 species
GACGAACGCUGGCGGCGUGCUUAACACAUGCAAGUCGAACGGAAAGGCCCUGCUUUUGUGGGGUGCUCGAGUGGCGAACGGGUGAGUAACACGUGAGUAACCUGCCCUUGACUUUGGGAUAACUUCAGGAAACUGGGGCUAAUACCGGAUAGGAGCUCCUGCUGCAUGGUGGGGGUUGGAAAGUUUCGGCGGUUGGGGAUGGACUCGCGGCGUAUCAGCUUGUUGGUGGGGUAGUGGCUUACCAAGGCUUUGACGGGUAGCCGGCCUGAGAGGGUGACCAGCCACUGUGGGACUGGGACACGGCCCGGACUCCUACGGGAGGCAGCAGUGGGGAGUAUUGCGCAGUGGGCGCAAGCCUGAUCCUGCAAGGCCGCGUGAGUGAUGAAGGCGUUAAGGUAGUAAAGCGCUCUUACCCGGGAAGAGAAUGACGGAACCGGGAGAAUAAGCCCCGGCUAACUCCGUG